rnacentral:lncRNA from 1 species
CAUGUUUCCAACAUGGCGGCUGUUUGAUGUUCUAAAAUGGUGCCGUUUUCGUGCGUUUUUAUGUGCCGUUUUCGUGCGUUUUUAGGACAACGUUACAUGCUGUCCAGGUUCUAUUUUUCACAUAACAACAUAGUGAAUCAACAUCCAAAUUUCAAGCAACGUUAUGAAGGGUAUACUCGAUUAAUCGCGGGGAUAAACAUGCCAAAUGCAUUGACGCAAAGUAUAAAGGUUUUCAGACGCAGUUUAGUGAAAAACGCACACAGUACGCAAAAUAAAGAGUACCGAGCAAACAAUGCUAUUAAAGCAAAACAUGUUCGUUUAAUUGAUCAAGAGGGGAAAAAUCUUGGAAUUAUAACUUUGAAAGAGGCGUUAGAAAAAGGGAGGAAAGAAAAUUGUGUUGUAGUGGAAGUUGGGCGUACUUCUUCAGAAACUGUGUGCAAAUUGAUCAGUCAACAACAGCUUUAUGAGAAAAUGAAAGAAGAGAAAAAGAAACAUGUGAAAACUAGCAAGAUGAGGGAGAUAAAAGUAACUGGCAAAAUAAGUGAACAUGAUUUGGACAUCAAAUUGAAAAAGAUUAUUGAAUUUCUAGAGGACCGUGACAGUGUAAAAGUGUUUGUUGUACACCGUAGAUUACAGAACACAAGUGUGGAUGAUAAAAAAGCUUUGAUUGAGAAAAUAGCAGAACAGAUUAGUGAUGUAGGAAGUUUGCAAGGUGAAACAAAGGUUGUUGGUAAUGGUGUGAGGGCAAUAUUUGUACCACUUCACCGAAAAUGACAAAAAAUUGGUAAGGUUUAUGAAUCAGUCAAUAGAAGAAAUUCUCAUCCUCUUACCAUGUGUACGUCUGUGUAUUUGGUAUUUAAAAAGAAUAAAUAAGCAAUACCCCAUCUAGGACUUGCUGAAAAACAAGUGAAUUGGUUUUUUAAAGAUGCUGUAAAGUUUGUAAUGUAAACAAUUAAUCAAAUGCUUUGUUUACAUUUUGUUUACAUUUUGAACUUUGUUUACAAUUUGUAAAAUAUGAUAUACUAACUGAAUAUCUAACACUUAUUAACCUCUACGUUUCAAUUUAAAAAUUUGAGAUGCGAAAUUUUGGCAAUAUUUAUAUCUGCUGGUCCCCCUUUGUUUAGUUGUUAUGAGCAGAAAAAGAUGCGCAGAACGGACUUCACAGCAUCUUUAAUUUAAUCAUGUAUGUUUGAACCUACACUUGCAUGAUGCUACUCAAAAUUCUCUUUUGUUUAAUCCUUUAAAGCACAUUUUCAGUGCCUUUGGCACUUUAUGACCUGAACUUGACUAUAAGAGAGGCAUUAAGCAUCCUUUUACCUAAAGGCCAAUUUACACUUUAGUCUACAUGCUUACAACUUGAGUUGUAAUAUGACAACAUAGGCAAGUUGUGAUCUUGCUUUACUUGCUUUAAAUAUACAUUUUAAAUGAACUUGGAAGAAUCAUUCUAACUGCUGACAGUUGCAAAUUAUUAUUUUUUAAAGCUACAUUUAAGUACUGCGAUUUUUUUGCUGAUUUUGCAUCCAUCCAAAACAAUAAACGUAUAUACUGUACUGUAAUAUGAUGACAAUCGCAACAUCGUCAACUGGAAGGAUUUGUGUCAGUAACAUGCAGCAAAAUCAGCCAGAUGAAUCGCAGAAGUGAAAACAUACCUUACUACAGGAGACUGAACUGUUGGUGGCGGCCCAGACGUGUAUCAGUAUUGGUAGUAAAUGUAUAAUUCUAGAAUAUACUAUAUACAGUAAAAUUUGUAAUGAAUUUUAUGUUUUAAAAUUAUAUUUAAUUACUUGCCUAGCUACUUUGAUUGUAUGUGAUUGUCUUUUAUUUCUGGG